CUAGUAACUGCGAGUGAAGCGGGAAGAGCUCAAAUUUGGAAUCUGGUGGUCUUGGGCCAUCCGAAUUGUAGUCUGGAGAAGUGCUUUCCGCGCUGGACCGUGUAUAAGUCUCUUGGAACAGAGCGUCGUAGAGGGUGAGAAUCCCGUCUUUGACACGGACUACCAGUGCUUUGUGAUGCGCUCUCAAAGAGUCGAGUUGUUUGGGAAUGCAGCUCAAAAUGGGUGGUAAAUUCCAUCUAAAGCUAAAUAUUGGCGAGAGACCGAUAGCGAACAAGUACCGUGAGGGAAAGAUGAAAAGCACUUUGGAAAGAGAGUUAAACAGUACGUGAAAUUGCUGAAAGGGAAACGCUUGAAGUCAGUCGCGUCGUCCGGAACUCAGCCUUGCUCCCGCUUGGUGCACUUUCUGGACGACGGGCCAGCAUCGAUUUUGACCGUCGGAAAAGGGUUGGAGGAAUGUGGCACCCUCGGGUGUGUUAUAGCCUCCAGUCGCAUACGGCGGUUGGGAUCGAGGAACGCAGCGUGCCGCGAGGCAGGGGUUCGCCCACUCCCACGCUUAGGAUGCUGGCAUAAUGGCUUUAAGCGACCCGUCUUGAAACACGGACCAAGGAGUCUAACAUGCCUGCGAGUGUUUGGGUGGAAAACCCGAGCGCGUAAUGAAAGUGAAAGUUGAGACCUCUGUCGUGGGAGGGCAUCGACGCCCGGACCUGACGGUUCUCUGACGGAUCCGCGGUAGAGCAUGUAUGUUGGGACCCGAAGAUGGUGACUAUGCCUGAA
rnacentral:rRNA from 1 species